CUUUUUUUUUUCUCUUUUGAGAGAAAUAAAAAGUUAAAAAAGGUUUUGUAGGGGGAACCUCCGGGAGGGGUCACUUUUUUUACAAAGAAAGGGCACGGGGGGUCUCUGGGCCUUUAAAAAAAAAAGGUGGACACCCCCGUGGCCCCUCCCAAACCCUUUUUCCCCCUUUGGGUCACCCCGGGGGGGGGCCCCCAAAAAGGGGGGCCCCCCUUUUUUUUCUCCCACACCCCGUAAAAAAAGCAAACAUAGUUUAGAAUGUGUCUUUUUUGCGAUGAUACGCAAUCAAUACAACUUUCAACAACGGAUCUCUUGGCUCUCGCAUCGAUGAAGAACGCAGCGAAAUGCGAUACGUAAUGUGAAUUGCAGAAUUCAGUGAAUCAUCGAAUCUUUGAACGCACCUUGCGCCCCUUGGCAUUCCGAGGGGCACACCCGUUUGAGUGUCGUGAAUUUCUCAAAAUCCUUUUCUUUGAAAGGAUUUUGGACUUGGAGGAUCAAUGCUCACUCUCACCUUUUUUGAAAGAGAGCUCCUCUUAAAUGAAUUAGCGGGGUUUGCUUUGCUGAUCCUUGACGUGAUAAGGUGAUUCUACGUUUUGGAUUUUGGCACUGUCCCUUUAGACACCCGCUCCUAACCGUCUUACGGACAAUGGUGGUGUUUCUGGUCACCGCUGCCUAUGUUGGCGCGAGGCUGGUCCCACAAGAAAAACCUUGACCUCAAAUCGGGUGAGACUACCCGCUGAACUUAAGCAUAUCAAUAAGCGGAGGAAAAGAAACUAACAAGGAUUCCCCUAGUAACUGCGAGUGAAGCGGGAAAAGCUCAAAUUUAAAAUCUGGUGGUCUUUGGCCAUCCGAGUGUAAUAGAGAAGCGUUACCGUG
rnacentral:rRNA from 1 species